rnacentral:rRNA from 1 species
GAUAUGAUCCAGAGUACCACGGGACACGUGAAACCCUGUGGGAAGCAGGAGGGACCACCCUCCAAGGCUAAAUACUACCUAGUGACCGAUAGCGUAUAGUACCGUGAGGGAAAGGUGAAAAGAACCCCGGGAGGGGAGUGAAAUAGAACCUGAAACCCUGCACUUACAAGCUGUGGAAGCACAUUUCUUGUGUGACCGCGUACUUUUUGUAGAACGGGCCAACGAGUUACGUUAAGUAGCAAGGUUAAGCACUUAAGGUGCGGAGCCGUAGCGAAAGCGAGUUUUAACUGAGCGUUCAGUUACUUGACGUAGACCCGAAACCGGGCGACCUACCCAUGAGCAGGAUGAAGCGAAAGUAAAAUUUCGUGGAGGUCCGAACCCACGAGCGUUGAAAAGCUCGGGGAUGACUUGUGGGUAGCGGUGAAAUUCCAAUCGAGCCCGGAGAUAGCUGGUUCUCCCCGAAAUAGCUUUAGGGCUAGCCUCAAGGUGAGAGAUACGGAGGUAGAGCACUGAAUGUCCUAGGGGGUAUUGCACCUACCGAAGACUAUCAAACUCCGAAUGCCGUCAUCUUAUACUUGGGAGUCAGACUGUGGGUGAUAAGAUUCAUAGUCGAAAGGGCAACAGCCCAGAUCGUCAGCUAAGGUCCCUAAAUGUAAGUUAAGUGGUAAAGGAUGUGGGAUUGCACAGACAACCAGGAUGUUGGCUUAGAAGCAGCCACUCAUUCAAAGAGUGCGUAAUAGCUCACUGGUCGAGUGAUCCUGCGCCGAAGAUUUCCGGGGCUAAAACUUACUACCGAAGCUACGGCAUCAGUAAUGAUGGGUAGGGGAGCUUCCCAUACGGGUUGAAGCAUGACCGUAAGGACAUGUGGACAGUAUGGGAGUGAGAAUGUUGGCAUGAGUAGCGAGAUGUGGGUGAGAAUCCCACAGGCCGUAAACCCAAGGUUUCCAGGGGAAGGUUCGUCCGCCCUGGGUUAGUCGGGACCUAAGCUGAGGCCGAAAGGCGUAGGUGAUGGACAACAGGUUGAUAUUCCUGUACUACCGAUAACCGUUUGAGAGAAGGGAUGACACAGUAGGAUAAGCUAAGCACACUGUUGGUUAUGUGUGCCCAAGCAUUGAGGCAGUCAAAGUAGGCAAAUCCGCUUUGAUAAUGCUGGGAUGUGAUGGGGAGCGAAAUUUAGUAGCGAAGUAGCUGAUUUCACACUGUCAAGAAAAGUCUCUAUCGAGGUUAAAGGUACCCGUACCGCAAACCGACACAGGUGGGUGAGGAGAGUAUCCUAAGGCCAGCGAGAGAACUGUUGUUAAGGAACUCGGCAAAAUGACCCCGUAACUUAGGGAUAAGGGGUGCCACCAUCAGGUGGCCGCAGAGAAUAGGCCCAAGCGACUGUUUACCAAAAACAUAGGUUUCUGCUAAGUCGCAAGACGAUGUAUAGGAGCUGACGCCUGCCCGGUGCUGGAAGGUUAAGGGGAUCUGUUAGAGCAAUCGAAGCAGUGAACUUAAGCCCCAGUAAACGGCGGCCGUAACUAUAACGGUCCUAAGGUAGCGAAAUUCCUUGUCGGGUAAGUUCCGACCCGCACGAAAGGCGUAACGAUUUGGGCACUGUCUCAACAACAGACUCGGUGAAAUUGUAAUUCCGGUGAAGAUGCCGGAUACCUGCGACAGGACGGAAAGACCCCAUGGAGCUUUACUGUAGCUUGACAUUGGGUCUUGGUACUACAUGUACAGGAUAGGUGGGAGGCUUUGAAACCAGGACGCCAGUUUUGGCGGAGCCAUCCUUGGGAUACCACCCUUGUAGUACUGGGACUCUAACCAUAGGCCAUGAAUCUGGUCUUGGGACACUGUCAGGUGGGCAGUUUGACUGGGGCGGUCGCCUCCCAAAAGGUAACGGAGGCGCUCAAAGGUUCUCUCAGUACGGUCGGAAAUCGUACGUAGAGUGUAAAGGCAAAAGAGAGCUUGAUUGCAAGACAUACAGGUCGAGCAAGGAUGAAAAUCGGACUUAGUGAUCCGGUGGUUCUGCGUGGAAGGGCCAUCGCUCAACGGAUAAAAGCUACCCUGGGGAUAACAGGCUUAUCUCCCCCAAGAGUCCACAUCGA